rnacentral:rRNA from 1 species
GAUGAACGCUGGCGGCAUGCCUAAUACAUGCAAGUCGAGCGAACAGACGAGGAGCUUGCUCCUCUGACGUUAGCGGCGGACGGGUGAGUAACACGUGGAUAACCUACCUAUAAGACUGGGAUAACUUCGGGAAACCGGAGCUAAUACCGGAUAAUAUCUUGAACCGCAUGGUUCAAUGGUGAAAGACGGUUUUGCUGUCACUUAUAGAUGGAUCCGCGCCGCAUUAGCUAGUUGGUAAGGUAACGGCUUACCAAGGCAACGAUGCGUAGCCGACCUGAGAGGGUGAUCGGCCACACUGGAACUGAGACACGGUCCAGACUCCUACGGGAGGCAGCAGUAGGGAAUCUUCCGCAAUGGGCGAAAGCCUGACGGAGCAACGCCGCGUGAGUGAUGAAGGUCUUCGGAUCGUAAAACUCUGUUAUUAGGGAAGAACAAAUGUGUAAGUAACUAUGCACGUCUUGACGGUACCUAAUCAGAAAGCCACGGCUAACUACGUG